AUUUUUACAACGCAUUAUAUCACAUUCUCGGAACUCAACUUGGAUGCGAGGUCCCCGGCUUCGGCCGGAGCUGACCCAGGACCAAUUCAUCGAUUUCGAACAGAAUGGAGAAAAGACAAUAGUGAACAAUCUUGGGUGCGGUGCUUUCCUUGCCUUUGGCAACAAUGGAAAGGGUCGCAAUGAUUGGGCGUACAU
rnacentral:sRNA from 1 species